AUGUUUGUGCUCACGACGAUUGCCACCUACCAUCUCACACCGCUUGAUUUGCCUGUUGAAGUGAAGAAGAAAAUUGACAGUAUCCGGCGGGCGUAUCUUUGGACUAGUUGUGACAAGAUCUCGGGAGGCAAGUGCAAGGUAAACUGGAAGAUGGUGUGCAAGCCCAAACUAUAUGGCGGACUGGGUAUUCUCAACCUUGAGAAGUUUGCUUCGGCGCUCCGCCUACGGUGGCUUUGGUAUGAAUGGGCUGACCCCCCCCCCAGGACGUGGCUUGGCCUAGGAUCCCCAUGCACCACCAAGGAUCGUGAUUUGUUUGCUGCUGCUACAAGAGUAACUGAUGGGGACAGAAACACGGCCAAGCAAGGUUGUCAAAAUCGCGAUUCUGUUAUACGAUUCUAUGACUUUACGGUCCAAACUAACCCCUCUAAUUCUAUGAUUUGGGGCCCUAAACUCUACGUUUCUACGAUCCUAAUAGUGAAAAUUCUACUAUUUGCGAUUCUACCAUCGGAGCUCCGAUCCGAUUCUGACAACCUUGGCAAGUUUUAG
rnacentral:rRNA from 1 species